rnacentral:tRNA from 1 species
GCUUCCAUGGCUCAACGGUAGAGCAGCUGAUUUGUAAUCAGCAGGUUGUUGGUUCGAUUCCGACUGGAAGCUCCA